rnacentral:rRNA from 1 species
AAUCAACGCUGGCGGCGUGCCUAACACAUGCAAGUCGAGCGGGAAAGGGGGCUUCGGCCCCUGAGUAUAGCGGCGGACGGGUGAGUAACACGUGGGUAAUUUGCCCUUGGGUGUGGAAUAACUCAGGGAAACUUGAGCUAAUACCGCAUGACAUCCCCUUCACACACGAGUCGGGGAUCAAAGCCGGGGACCCUUCGGGGCCUGGCGCCUGAGGAGAAGCCCGCGCCCGAUUAGCUAGUUGGGGAGGUAA